CGAUGAUUCCCUCAGUAAGGGCGACUGAAGCGGGAAUAGCCCAGCGCCGAAGCCAGAUGCACGCCCGAUGUGUCUGGCCAUGUGGCGUUUGGUGCGGCAGAUCUGGGUGGGAGAUUGGCCUUCGGAGUCCCCUUGACUGGGGCUUUCCGUAGCGGGUGUCAGGCCCAUACGGAGGCCGGUCUCUCGUCCCCCCUGUCCGCACCGUGGAGUCGGUCAGUUUGAGAUUGCUGAUCUAAGUGGGAGGUAGUCCCCUCCUAAGGCUAAAUACGGGCGGGAGUCCGAUAGCGGACAAGUACCGUGAGGGAAAGCUGCAAAGUACUCUGAAGAGAGAGUUCAAAAGGACGUGAAGCCGUCUGCAGGGAAACGGGUGAGACCGCACGGUAGACCCACGGCGGAUUCAGCUCCGAGGGCAACUUCGGGGUGCACUUCCGCGUCAGUGGGUCGCGCAGGGCCCGGCUCGACGGCCGUCUGAAGCCCGGAGAGGAGGUGACGGGGUUCUUCGGAACUCCGAGUUUAACUCUUCGGCGCGGAGACCGGUUGUUGGGUCGAGGAACGUCCAUCCGUCUUUGACGCGUAGGUUUUGGUCGGCUCGCUGGUUCGACUGGGUUGGAGCCCGUCUCCGAUGGGCUGCUCUCGACUGCCAGUGGGUUCUUCCGAGGCUUUUCGCCGGAUGACUAGGACACCUGUGCUCAGGUCGGCACCUCACCCGACCCGUCUUGAAACACGGACCGAGGAGUCUGACACAUGCGCGAGUCCGAAGGAUCGAAAAACCCGAGGGCGUAGUGAAGGCGAAGGGAUGGCUCGUUCAACCCUAGGCAGGAUCUCUCCUUGGAGAGCGCACUGUCGGCCCCUCUCGACACCGCCGCGACGGUGGGAGGGAGACGGAGCGCAUGUGCCGGGACCCGAAAGAUGGUGAACUAUGCCCGGGCAGGUCGAAGCCAGA
rnacentral:rRNA from 2 species